UGUGCUGUUUCUGGACUCAGAAUCUCUCAAAAAGAGAUUUUAAACUCUGAAAUACUGUUUAGAAGUGCCCAUCACCCACUAAACUAUAGGCCUGUGAGUGCUUAGGUUGGAGGUUGCAACUAAACUCCAAAACAUAUUUGUGAUUAAACGAGACCAUAAUGUUCCUCCACCAAAUGCUGAGGGAGUUCAGCACAACAUAAAUACAUACUUUAAACUGCAGUACAAUAAAAAUAAUAAUAAAGAAGAAAUGAGUAUAACCAGCAUGGUUAUGCAUGAAGUUAGCAGGAGAUGGCCAGAGGGAGGAGAUGCCACACAUUCUUGGAAGCACUGGGAGGAACUUACAGUCCCAUUGACUUCAAUGGGUUUUCAGUCAGGCUGUGUUUCUGCUGUGGAAAAGAACUGCUUAAAACAGCAUUGUGGGGUGCCUUGUUUUUUGUCUCCGAGCAACUCCUGGCAAAGCCACUGCUUAAGUAAAGCCAGAAACACAAGACAAACUGAAUUGUGAUAAACAAGUGGGUUGAGAAAUAGGACAAGGAAGACAAACACCAUAAAAACUUACCAAUUAAAGUUGAAGGGGCAGGCACUGUGGGCACAAAGAUUGGAAAUCAUUUGGAUGCUUUGUGUAGGUAUCUUACUGAGGCAUACAGAGAAGGGCAUUAGUCAUCUAACUGGGUGCAAUUACAUUUAUUAUGAACCAGGUGCAAAAGAUCAGAUUGAUUGAAUGAUUUGGACAGGAACAAUGAAAGCAGGGUCACAUUUUUUCUUUCAUAUUUCUUGGAAUUCAACUCUUCAAGAUUGCCAUUAAGUAAUAUAUUUGUAUUUGGUCAUUUUAUAUUAAAGUUAUAUAUUUAUAUGUUAAAGAUGAGACAGAUUUUUAUAUCUUAGUGUUUCAUAACCGAUUUUCACAAUGAGAGACUGUAAAGAUAUUAUUAUUAUUUCUUUUUUUUUUUUUCUUAAGAAAUCUCAGCAUAUCUCCCCUUUUCAGUGAGAAUCAGAUCUGGUUUUAAUAAUCUUUGGGGGAAAAAAAGAGGAAGUUUGUCUCAGUAGUAUUUUUCAUUAUCAACAAAAAGAGAAAAAUCUAACAUUUAGCAAACCACACAUCUGAAUUCAGUCUAAUAACUUUAAUAGUUUGGGUGUUGGGUUUUUGUUUUUUUUUUUUUUUCCAGCCAUACAGGACUAAGGGUAGAGCACCUAUUAUGUGGAGCAGAGAGAAUAAGGCCAAGAUACUACUAAUACCCUGAAGGGCUACAUACAUUCCAUAACUCUGUCUUCACGACUACAGCCAUUUAUUAUGGCCCAGCCAUCAGAGCAGCAGCCAGGUAGCACUAGCCCAGAUUUCAGACUCCUAUAGGAACACUUAACAAGAGCCAUCCCUGAAUCCUACAACCUUCCUUAACAGGAACAAGGGGAAAGCG
rnacentral:lncRNA from 1 species